UUUUCUCUUAGCAAGGCAGCAAAAUGUUUCGUUCAAAAAGUGCUCUUUGAGAAACAAUCUGAGGUGUGGUCCUGAUCACUCCAUGAGCUAAAUAAUAAACUGACAAAACACAACUGAUAUGAAGAAACUGACAACGCAGUCAGAUUGUUUAAUCAAAAGACUUUCUGAAAUGCCGACCGGAGACUUUGAUUUGAAGCCAAGCUGGGCUGACCAGGUGGAAGAGGAGGGAGAGGACGACAAAUGUGUCACCAGUGAGCUCCUCACGGGGCUCCCUCUGAUCACUGGAGACACCAGCCCAGAGCCCAAGCUACUGCCCGGAGCUCCACUGCCACCUCCCAAGGAGGUCAUCAAUGGCAACAUAAAGACAGUGACCGAGUACAAGAUAGAUGAUGAUGGCAAGAAGUUCAAUAUUGUCUGCACCUUCAGGAUUGAGACACGGAAGGUCUCCAAGGCAGUUGCGAGGAGGAAGAACUAGAAGAAGUUUGGGAACUCAGAGUUUGACCCCCCAGGGCCCGAUGUGGCCACCACUACUGUUAGUGAUGAUGUCUCUAUGACAUUCAUCACCAGCAAAAAGGACCUGAACUGCCAGGAGGAGGAGGACCCAAUGAACAAAGUCAAGGGCCAGAAGAUAGUGUCCUGCCGCAUCUGCAAGGGAGACCACUGGACCACCCAUUGCCCCUACAAGGACACCUUGGGGCCCAUGCAGAAGGAACUAGAGGAGCAGCUGGGCCUGUCCACUGGCGAGAAAGAAAAGCUGCCAGGAGAGCUGGAGCUUGUGCAGGCAGCUCAGAACAAGACAGAGAAAUACAUACCACCAAGCCUUCGGGAUGGGGCCAGCCGCCGUGGGGAGUCUAUGCAGCCUAACUGUAGAGCUGAUGACAAUGCCACCAUCCGUGUCACCAACUUGUCAGAGGACACACGUGAGACCGACCUACAGGAGCUCUUCCGGCCCUUUGGCUCCAUCUCCCGCAUCUACCUGGCUAAGGACAAGACCACUGGCCAGUCCAAGGGCUUUGCCUUCAUAAGCUUCCACUGCUGUGAGGAUGCUGCACGUGCCGUUGCUGGGGUAUCUGGCUUUGGCUACGAUCAUCUCAUCCUCAAUAUUGAGUGGGCCAAGCCAUCUACCAACUAAGCCAGCUGCCACCACACCACUUGGCCCUGGACCCUUGGCAAAAGGAGACAGCCUCUGAUGGGGGCUCCAGCUCCAAGGACAAUAAAAAGGCUCAAGAUGCAAAAAAAAAAAAAAAAAA